rnacentral:rRNA from 1 species
CCUACGGGAGGCAGCAGUGAGGAAUAUUGGUCAAUGGACGCAAGUCUGAACCAGCCAUGCCGCGUGCAGGAAGACGGCUCUAUGAGUUGUAAACUGCUUUUGUACGAGGGUAAACGCAGAUACGCGUAUCUGUCUGAAAGUAUCGUACGAAUAAGGAUCGGCUAACUCCGUUCCAGCAGCCGCGGUAAUACGGAGGAUUCAAGCGUUAUCCGGAUUUAUUGGGUGUAAAGGGUGCGUAGGCGGUCGGAUAAGUUAGAGGUGAAAUCCCGAGGCUCAACUUCGGAAUUUCCUCUGAUACUGUUCGGCGAGAGAGUAGUGGCGGUAGGCGGAAUGUAUGGUGUAGCGGUGAAAUGCUUAGAGAUCAUACAGAACACCGAUUGCGAAGGCAGCUUACCAAGCUACUUCUGACGUUGAGGCACGAAAGCGUGGGGAGCAAACAGGAUUAGAUACCCUUGUAGUC